AAGUACAUUGGACGGCAUAUUUGUUUCACCAUAGGUGGAAAGGACUGAAGUUGUUUUCGAUUGUAAAUACUUGUUAAAAGUUUAAAAACGAAUAGUUCCAUAUCGAAUAAUUUACUAUAGUGUAAAAAGAUGGUAUAUACUACUGAACUCAGACCUAAAAGGCUUAAGCUUUAAGCUGAAAGUAUUUUAGUAGAUAUGUUACAUUCUUAGACUCAUGUGGGCUUGGAUUGGGUGCAAACCUCCCAACCAAGUGAGGUAUUAGAGCCAAUGCUUUGAAGAUCCUAUAUUACUCGUCCAAGUAGUGUGGUAUAACUGAGUUAGUGGCUCUUGCGAACAUAAUGGAUUUGCUGAUAGGAGUUAUGAUGGAUUUGUGGAUAGAAGUCAUGGAACGCA
rnacentral:lncRNA from 1 species